rnacentral:piRNA from 1 species
UGCCGGUCUAAUGCCCCACCCCUUU